UGUGAGCUCGAUGAGUAGGGCGGGACACGUGGUAUCCUGUCUGAAUAUGGGGGGACCAUCCUCCAAGGCUAAAUACUCCUGACUGACCGAUAGUGAACCAGUACCGUGAGGGAAAGGCGAAAAGAACCCCGGCGAGGGGAGUGAAAAAGAACCUGAAACCGUGUACGUACAAGCAGUGGGAGCACGCUUAGGCGUGUGACUGCGUACCUUUUGUAUAAUGGGUCAGCGACUUAUAUUCUGUAGCAAGGUUAACCGAAUAGGGGAGCCGAAGGGAAACCGAGUCUUAACUGGGCGUUAAGUUGCAGGGUAUAGACCCGAAACCCGGUGAUCUAGCCAUGGGCAGGUUGAAGGUUGGGUAACACUAACUGGAGGACCGAACCGACUAAUGUUGAAAAAUUAGCGGAUGACUUGUGGCUGGGGGUGAAAGGCCAAUCAAACCGGGAGAUAGCUGGUUCUCCCCGAAAGCUAUUUAGGUAGCGCCUCGUGAAUUCAUCUCCGGGGGUAGAGCACUGUUUCGGCAAGGGGGUCAUCCCGACUUACCAACCCGAUGCAAACUGCGAAUACCGGAGAAUGUUAUCACGGGAGACACACGGCGGGUGCUAACGUCCGUCGUGAAGAGGGAAACAACCCAGACCGCCAGCUAAGGUCCCAAAGUCAUGGUUAAGUGGGAAACGAUGUGGGAAGGCCCAGACAGCCAGGAUGUUGGCUUAGAAGCAGCCAUCAUUUAAAGAAAGCGUAAUAGCUCACUGGUCGAGUCGGCCUGCGCGGAAGAUGUAACGGGGCUAAACCAUGCACCGAAGCUGCGGCAGCGACGCUUAUGCGUUGUUGGGUAGGGGAGCGUUCUGUAAGCCUGUGAAGGUGUGCUGUGAGGCAUGCUGGAGGUAUCAGAAGUGCGAAUGCUGACAUAAGUAACGAUAAAGCGGGUGAAAAGCCCGCUCGCCGGAAGACCAAGGGUUCCUGUCCAACGUUAAUCGGGGCAGGGUGAGUCGACCCCUAAGGCGAGGCCGAAAGGCGUAGUCGAUGGGAAACAGGUUAAUAUUCCUGUACUUGGUGUUACUGCGAAGGGGGGACGGAGAAGGCUAUGUUGGCCGGGCGACGGUUGUCCCGGUUUAAGCGUGUAGGCUGGUUUUCCAGGCAAAUCCGGAAAAUCAAGGCUGAGGCGUGAUGACGAGGCACUACGGUGCUGAAGCAACAAAUGCCCUGCUUCCAGGAAAAGCCUCUAAGCAUCAGGUAACAUCGAAUCGUACCCCAAACCGACACAGGUGGUCAGGUAGAGAAUACCAAGGCGCUUGAGAGAACUCGGGUGAAGGAACUAGGCAAAAUGGUGCCGUAACUUCGGGAGAAGGCACGCUGAUAUGUAGGUGAAGCGACUUGCUCGUGGAGCUGAAAUCAGUCGAAGAUACCAGCUGGCUGCAACUGUUUAUUAAAAACACAGCACUGUGCAAACACGAAAGUGGACGUAUACGGUGUGACGCCUGCCCGGUGCCGGAAGGUUAAUUGAUGGGGUCAGCGCAAGCGAAGCUCUUGAUCGAAGCCCCGGUAAACGGCGGCCGUAACUAUAACGGUCCUAAGGUAGCGAAAUUCCUUGUCGGGUAAGUUCCGACCUGCACGAAUGGCGUAAUGAUGGCCAGGCUGUCUCCACCCGAGACUCAGUGAAAUUGAACUCGCUGUGAAGAUGCAGUGUACCCGCGGCAAGACGGAAAGACCCCGUGAACCUUUACUAUAGCUUGACACUGAACAUUGAGCCUUGAUGUGUAGGAUAGGUGGGAGGCUUUGAAGUGUGGACGCCAGUCUGCAUGGAGCCGACCUUGAAAUACCACCCUUUAAUGUUUGAUGUUCUAACGUUGACCCGUGAUCCGGGUUGCGGACAGUGUCUGGUGGGUAGUUUGACUGGGGCGGUCUCCUCCUAAAGAGUAACGGAGGAGCACGAAGGUUGGCUAAUCCUGGUCGGACAUCAGGAGGUUAGUGCAAUGGCAUAAGCCAGCUUGACUGCGAGCGUGACGGCGCGAGCAGGUGCGAAAGCAGGUCAUAGUGAUCCGGUGGUUCUGAAUGGAAGGGCCAUCGCUCAACGGAUAAAAGGUACUCCGGGGAUAACAGGCUGAUACCGCCCAAGAGUUCAUAUCGACGGCGGUGUUUGGCACCUCGAUGUCGGCUCAUCACAUCCUGGGGCUGAAGUAGGUCCCAAGGGUAUGGCUGUUCGCCAUUUAAAGUGGUACGCGAGCUGGGUUUAGAACGUCGUGAGACAGUUCGGUCCCUAUCUGCCGUGGGCGCUGGAGAACUGAGGGGGGCUGCUCCUAGUACGAGAGGACCGGAGUGGACGCAUCACUGGUGUUCGGGUUGUCAUGCCAAUGGCACUGCCCGGUAGCUAAAUGCGGAAGAGAUAAGUGCUGAAAGCAUCUAAGCACGAAACUUGCCCCGAGAUGAGUUCUCCCUGACUCUUUGAGGGUCCUGAAGGAACGUUGAAGACGACGACGUUGAUAGGCCGGGUGUGUAAGCGCAGCGAUGCGUUGAGCUAACCGGUACUAAUGAACCGUGAGGCUUAACCUU
rnacentral:rRNA from 2 species